rnacentral:rRNA from 1 species
UAAACUAGGAUUAGAUACCCUAUUAUUUUAAAAUGUAAAAAAAAAUACUAGAGUAGUAUUAGUUAUGUUCUUGAAAUUAAAAAGAUUUGGCGGUAUUUUAGUCUAUUCAGAGGAACCUGUCCUGUAAUUGAUAGUCCACGAUUAAUUUUACUUAUUUUAAUGGUUUGUAUAUCGUCGUAGAUUGAAUGUUUUAAGAGAAUUUAUAAUGUUCAGGAUUUAUAAUAAUAAAAGAAAUCAGAUCAAGGUGCAGUGUAUAGGUAAGUAGAGAUGGGUUACAAUAAAUUUAUUUGUGGUUAAAUUAACUAACAUAUUUUAUAAAAUGGAUUUGAAUGUAAUAUAAUUUAAUUAAAUUAUGUGAUUAUAGCUCUAAAAUAUGUACAUAUCGCCCGUCGCUCCUACUUUAAAGUAGGAUAAGUCGUAACAAAGUAGAUGUACUGGAGAGUGUAUCUAGAGAGACAAGUUAGAGCUUGUUAUAAAGCAUUUUAUUUACAUUAAAAAGUUAGUUGUGUAAAUCAAUUUAAUUUGAGAUGAAAAAUUUAUUAUUUUAAAGAAAAUAAAAUAUUUUUUAUAUUUAGUAUUUAAUUAGAAUAAUAAUUUAUUAUUAUAGUUUAUUAGUAUUGAAUAAGAUUAUUGAUAUAUUAAGUUAAUUAUUUAAAAUAAGAAUUAGCUUUUUGUACCUUGUGUAUCAGGGUUUAUUAAAAAUAUAUUAUAAAUAUAGUUUUCUCGAAUUUUUAAGAGCUAAUAAUUUAUAAAUUUAAUUGUUAAAUAAAUUUUUAUAAUAAGUUAUUAGUAAUGAAACGUUAGUCGUUUAAUAUGAUAUCUAGUUUUUUAAGAAAUAAAUUUAAUUUAUUUAUUUAAAUAUAUAUGUUUUAUUUUUAAAUAAUAUAUUUUGAAUAUUUAAUAUUUUAAGGGAUAAGCUUUGAAAUAUAAAGUUAAAAAUUAUUUUAUAUUUAAAGGAGAAUAGGAUUAGAAAUUUUUAUUGUUUAGUUUGUUAUAAUUAAUUUUUUUUAAAAAUAUAAUUUAUAUUAGUUUUAAUUUUUUUAUUAAAAUAAUUUAUUUAAUUUAAUAUUAUAUAAGAUAAUGAUAAAAUUAGUAUAUAAUAAAUUUAAAGUUAAAUUAUACGUGUUAGGUUAAGUUAAGGAAUUCGGCAAAUAUAUUUCUCGCCUGUUUAUUAAAAACAUGUCUUUUUGAUAAUAAUUUAAAGUCUGACCUGCCCACUGAGGGAUUAAAUGGCCGCGGUAUUUUGACCGUGCAAAGGUAGCAUAAUAAUUAGUUUUUUAAUUGAAAGCUGGUAUGAAUGGUUGGACGAGGGAAUUACUGUCUCAGUUUAAUUGAUUUAGAAUUUUAUUUUUAAGUUAAAAAGCUUAGAUAAAAUUAAAAGACGAGAAGACCCUAUAGAAUUUUAUAUUUAUUUUUAUUGGGAAUAUAAAUAAUUUUUUGUUAUUAAUUAAAUUAAGUAUUUUGUUGGGGUGAUGGAAAAAUUUAAGAAACUUUUUUUAUAAAAAUUCAUUAAUUUAUGUUUAUUUGAUCCAUUGUUUAUGAUUAAAAGAUUAAAUUACCUUAGGGAUAACAGCGUAAUUAUUUUAGAGAGUUCUUAUCGAAAAAAUAGUUUGCGACCUCGAUGUUGGAUUAAAAUUUACUUUUGGUGUAGGUGCUAAAUAGUUAAGUCUGUUCGACUUUUAAAAUUUUACAUGAUCUGAGUUCAAACCGGAGA